rnacentral:rRNA from 3 species
UACGUAGGGGGCGAGCGUUACCCGGAAUCACUGGGCGUAAAGGGAGCGUAGGUGGCCUAACAUGUCAACUGUGAAAACCCGGAGCUCAACUCCGGACUUGCAGUUGAAACUGGUAGGCUUGAGGACGGUAGAGGAAGACGGAACUGCCAGUGUAGGGGUAAAAUCCUUAGAUAUUGGCAGGAACGCCGGUGACGAAGGUGGUUUUCUGGGCCGGUUCUGACACUGAUGCUCGAAAGCCAGGGGAGCGAACGGG